GGGGCCGGGAGGAGCGCAGAGCCUCGCGCCCGGAUGCCCGGCCAGCUAGCAGCGCGGGCAGCGGCUUUAUGUUGAUGGCAAAUUGUCACUUUGGCGGAAUUCAGGAACGCUACUUAUGUCAUUAGGCGGCAAUCUAUAAUUAACGCACUCAAGGCUGUGUGAAGGGUAGGAUUCUUCCAGGGACAGCUAGAGCGAUUCCACCUGCAUCUUCUGGGAGCGGGGAAUGUUAGUGGACCCCCCGGUGUGUAGAAGUUCAGCAAGAUUAAAAGCCAAUACAAGCAGUGCUUGGAAAUAAAGCAGAACCAUGCACCCAGCAACACCUUUGAUCUCGACCAUAUGGAGCCCCACCAAGCUCUGGAAAAAAAAUCUCCCUUGCCUCCACAGCCGGCCGAGAGAAGCGGGGGCCCCCAGAUGGCCAGAUACCAUGGGCGCCCGCACCCCAUGGCUUGUCUUGUCUUCUGAUUGGUCCCCAGUGCAAAGGCAGGGGACUCGCUUCUCACGCUGGAGGCAAAUCCGUGUCCCCAACGUUGGUGAGGUUGACAGUUUUCACAACUCGGUUUUGGGGGGGAAAUAUUUGAGUAAACAGCCCUGACCCUGUUGGGUUUGUUUUAGAGUGGAAUCUCACCAUCAGGACAGAGCAAAAAUGUCAUGGGCCCCUAGACCAGUGUGGAAAGCUCACUAAACCAUUUUUCCAGCUGAGGCUUUUUCCUCUCUUUCUUUUGUUAAAUCCUUGGGUCUCUAACUUUGCUGAUCAUCGUCUUGAGAAUUGACCACAUGGGAAGACUGAUUUACACACUGGGUCAGCCUGAGAAGGAAAAAGCCCAUGACCAAUGACAUCGGGGGGCCCAGAGGGAAGCCGGCUGAGGCAGAGGGAGCAAGUGGGCCGUGGCCAAGGGCCAAGGACCUGCAUCCUCAUCUUCCUCUCACCAGCAUGGGGAUUGGCAGGUUUAAGAGGCAGUUAGGAGAGGCAGGUGUGAGUAAUGGGAACAGCACUGGCUUUCACCAAGCAACCAGGUUCACGACAGCCGUCAUGUGACCUCGGGCACGUGACUCCACCUCUCUGUGAGGCAGUUUGCUCAUGGAUUCUUCUGCAAUUCUGAAACAUGAAAGUGCCAAAAGUCAACGCUUUGAUAAUUUCAUAGCAGACUCAUGUGGUGGCAAAGCCUGACCUGAGCUGACGUGAGACUAUUUGUAAUCUUUAUUUAUGCUGCUUAAUGCAGGUACUCAUUCAUUCUGCUGUGGAAAUAGUCCUGUCUGGGACAGUCGAAGGCUGCCCUAGACUCCAUUGGGAUAUUAUAUGUUUACUUUUGUAAAAUCCAAAAUAUCC
rnacentral:lncRNA from 1 species